rnacentral:rRNA from 2 species
UGGGGAAUAUUGGGCAAUGGGGGAAACCCUGACCCAGCAACGCCGCGUGAAGGAAGAAGGCUUUCGGGUUGUAAACUUCUUUUAUGUGGGACGAAGAAGUGACGGUACCACAUGAAUAAGCCACGGCUAACUACGUGCCAGCAGCCGCGGUAAUACGUAGGUGGCAAGCGUUGUCCGGAUUUACUGGGUGUAAAGGGCGCGUAGGCGGGAAUGCAAGUCAGGUGUGAAAUCUCUGGGCUCAACCCGGAAACUGCACUUGAAACUGUGUUUCUUGAGUGAUGGAGAGGCAAGUGGAAUUCCUAGUGUAGCGGUGAAAUGCGUAGAUAUUAGGAGGAACACCAGUGGCGAAGGCAGGUCUCUGGGCCGCAACUGACGCUGAGGAGCGAAAGCAUGGGGAGCGAACAGG